UUACGGCCACAUCACGUUGAAACGGUGGUUCCUGUACGAUCACCGAAGUUAAGCAACGUCGAAUCUGGUCAGUACCUAGAUGGGUGACCGCUUGUGAAUAACAGAUGCUGUGA